rnacentral:rRNA from 1 species
GACGAACGCUGGCGGCGUGCUUAACACAUGCAAGUCGAACGGAAAGGCCCUGCUUUUGUGGGGUGCUCGAGUGGCGAACGGGUGAGUAACACGUGAGUAACCUGCCCUUGACUUUGGGAUAACUUCAGGAAACUGGGGCUAAUACCGGAUAGGAGCUCCUGCUGCAUGGUGGGGGUUGGAAAGUUUCGGCGGUUGGGGAUGGACUCGCGGCUUAUCAGCUUGUUGGUGGGGUAGUGGCUUACCAAGGCUUUGACGGGUAGCCGGCCUGAGAGGGUGACCGGCCACAUUGGGACUGAGAUACGGCCCAGACUCCUACGGGAGGCAGCAGUGGGGAAUAUUGCACAAUGGGCGGAAGCCUGAUGCAGCAACGCCGCGUGCGGGAUGACGGCCUUCGGGUUGUAAACCGCUUUCGCCUGUGACGAAGCGUGAGUGACGGUAAUGGGUAAAGAAGCACCGGCUAACUACGUGCCAGCAGCCGCGGUGAUACGUAGGGUGCGAGCGUUGUCCGGAUUUAUUGGGCGUAAAGGGCUCGUAGGUGGUUGAUCGCGUCGGAAGUGUAAUCUUGGGGCUUAACCCUGAGCGUGCUUUCGAUACGGGUUGACUUGAGGAAGGUAGGGGAGAAUGGAAUUCCUGGUGGAGCGGUGGAAUGCGCAGAUAUCAGGAGGAACACCAGUGGCGAAGGCGGUUCUCUGGGCCUUUCCUGACGCUGAGGAGCGAAAGCGUGGGGAGCGAACAGGCUUAGAUACCCUGGUAGUCCACGCUGUAAACGGUGGGUACUAGGUGUGGGGUCCAUUCCACGGGUUCCGUGCCGUAGCUAACGCUUUAAGUACCCCGCCUGGGGAGUACGGCCGCAAGGCUAAAACUCAAAGGAAUUGACGGGGCCCCGCACAAGCGGCGGAGCAUGCGGAUUAAUUCGAUGCAACGCGUAGAACCUUACCUGGGUUUGACAUGGAUCGGGAGUGCUCAGAGAUGGGUGUGCCUCUUUUGGGGUCGGUUCACAGGUGGUGCAUGGCUGUCGUCAGCUCGUGUCGUGAGAUGUUGGGUUAAGUCCCGCAACGAGCGCAACCCUUGUUCACUGUUGCCAGCACGUUAUGGUGGGGACUCAGUGGAGACCGCCGGGGUCAACUCGGAGGAAGGUGGGGAUGACGUCAAGUCAUCAUGCCCCUUAUGUCCAGGGCUUCACGCAUGCUACAAUGGCUGGUACAGAGAGUGGCGAGCCUGUGAGGGUGAGCGAAUCUCGGAAAGUCGGUCUCAGUUCAGAUUGGGGUCUGCAACUCGACCUCAUGAAGUCGGAGUCGCUAGUAAUCGCAGAUCAGCAACGCUGCGGUGAAUACGUUCCCGGGGCU